rnacentral:rRNA from 1 species
UACAGAGGUCCCGAGCGUUGUUCGGAUUCACUGGGCGUAAAGGGUGCGUAGGUGGUGAGGUAAGUCGGAUGUGAAAUCUCCAGGCUCAACCUGGAAACUGCAUUGGAAACUACCUUGCUAGAGGGUUUGAGGGGGGACUGGAAUUCUCGGUGUAGCAGUGAAAUGCGUAGAUAUCGAGAGGAACACCAGUGGCGAAGGCGAGUCCCUGGGCAAUUCCUGACGCUGAGGCGCGAAAGCGUGGGGAGCAAACAGG